UUUCCGUAGGUGAACCUGCGGAAGGAUCAUUAUCGAAUUUCGAGGGGAAGGAAGAUGAGGGGUGGAGACGGUCGCUGGCUUUCCCGCCUGGGAAGCAUGUGCACGCCUUGCUUUUCGUUGACCUUUCUCUUACUCUCACACCUGUGCACCCAUUGUAGGUCCUCGAAAGAGGAUCUAUGUUUUUAUCAUCACACGCAUCGUAUGUCCAUAGAAUGUAACAUGAUCGUCGAUCGACCUCGCGGUCGGGUGGCGGUCUAAAUAAAUAAAUACAACUUUCAGCAACGGAUCUCUUGGCUCUC
rnacentral:misc_RNA from 1 species